ensembl:snoRNA
ACAUAGGAAAUUAUCUUUGAAGAAAAUAUAGUUAUAGCCUUUCAUAAUGUCCCAUGCCAGAGCAAACUGUGGUCCUGAACCAUUGCUUGGCCUUGAUCUGUGGGCUACUGGCACUGAAGGGGGUUGCACAGAG